rnacentral:pre_miRNA from 1 species
AAUAAGACUACUUUUUAGUUUUUCAAUACAAUGUUUUUGACUCUUCGUCUUAUUUGAAAAUCUUUUGUAAUUAAUAUUUUUUUAUUCUUACUAGAUGAUAAAACAUAAAUAGUACUUUAUGCGUUAGUAAUUUUUUAAGUUUUUUAUAAAUUUUUCAAAUAAGACAAAUGGUCAAACUUUAGACAUGGAAAAAC